UGGCGGCGUGGUUAAGACAUGCAAGUCGAACGGAUCAGAUGGUGUAGCAAUACAUUGUCUGGUUAGUGGCGCAAGGGUGAGUAACACGUGGGCAACCUGCCCGGAAAUGGGGGAUAGCCCGCCGAAAGGCGGAUUAAUACCGCAUGUGACGAGAAGCGGCAUCGCUUCGUAGUUAAAGUCGGUGAAAGCUGACGUUUCCGGAUGGGCCCGCGGCCUAUCAGCUAGUUGGUGAGGUAACGGCUCACCAAGGCAAUGACGGGUAGCUGGUCUGAGGGGACGACCAGCCACACUGGAACUGAGACACGGUCCAGACACCUACGGGUGGCAGCAGUCGAGAAUUUUUCUCAAUGGGGGAAACCCUGAAGGAGCGACGCCGCGUGGAGGAUGAAGGUCUUCGGAUUGUAAACUCCUGUCAUGAGGGAGUAAGACACAGCGUUAACUGCGUAUGUGUUUGAUAGUACCUCAAGAGGAAGAGACGGCUAACUCUGUGCCAGCAGCCGCGGUAAUACAGAGGUCUCAAGCGUUGUUCGGAUUCAUUGGGCGUAAAGGGUGCGUAGGCGGUUGGGUAAGUCAGAGGUGAAAUUCCGGGGCUCAACCUCGGAACUGCCUUUGAUACUGCCUGACUAGAGUACUGGAGAGGAGACUGGAAUUCACGGUGUAGCAGUGAAAUGCGUAGAUAUCGUGAGGAAGACCAGUGGCGAAGGCGAGUCUCUGGACAGUUACUGACGCUGAGGCACGAAGGCUAGGGGAGCAAACGGGAUUAGAUACCCCGGUAGUCCUAGCAGUAAACGGUGCACGUUUGGUAUGGGAGGAAUCGACCCCUUCCGUGCCGUANCUAACGCGUUAAACGUGCCGUCUGGGGAGUACGNUCGCAAGAUUAAAACUCAAAGAAAUUGACGGGGGCCCGCACAAGCGGNGG
rnacentral:rRNA from 1 species